UACAGAGGGUGCGAACGUUGCUCGGAAUUACUGGGCGUAAAGCGCGUGUAGGCGGUUCGGCAAGUCAGGCGUGAAAUCCCCAGGCUCAACCUGGGAACUGCGCUUGAAACUGCCGGUCUUGAGUAUCGGAGAGGGUGGCGGAAUUCCUGGUGUAGAGGUGAAAUUCGUAGAUAUCAGGAGGAACACCGGUGGCGAAGGCGGCCACCUGGACGAUUACUGACGCUGAGACGCGAAAGCGUGGGGAGCAAACAGG
rnacentral:rRNA from 1 species